rnacentral:tRNA from 1 species
AAUGUCGCUCAGUGGUAGAGUGCUUGCCUAGCAUGUGUGAGGCCCUAAGUUCUAGUCUUAGCAUU